AACGAACGCUGGCGGCAGGCCUAACACAUGCAAGUCGAACGCAUCGCAAGAUGAGUGGCGCACGGGUGAGUAACACGUGGGAAUGUACCCUUUGGUUCGGAAUAACGUUUGGAAACGAACGCUAAUACCGGAUGAGCCCUGCGGGGGAAAGAUUUAUCGCCAAAGGAGCAGCCCGCGUCUGAUUAGGUAGUUGGUGGGGUAAAGGCCUACCAAGCCGACGAUCAGUAGCUGGUCUGAGAGGAUGAUCAGCCACACUGGGACUGAGACACGGCCCAGACUCCUACGGGAGGCAGCAGUGGGGAAUAUUGGACAAUGGGCGCAAGCCUGAUCCAGCCAUGCCGCGUGAGUGAUGAAGGCCUUCGGGUUGUAAAGCUCUUUCGCACACGACGAUGAUGACGGUAGUGUGAGAAGAAGCCCCGGCUAACUUCGUGCCAGCAGCCGCCGUAACAC
rnacentral:rRNA from 1 species